GCUUGUCUCAAAGAUUAAGCCAUGCAUGUCUAAGUAUAAAUGCUAUACAAUGAAACUGCGAAUGGCUCAUUAAAACAGUUAUAGUUUAUUUGGUAAUACACUUACAUGGAUAACCGUGGUAAUUCUAGAGCUAAUACAUGCUGGUUAGCCUGACUUCGAGGAAGGGCUGUAUUUAUUAGAUAACAAACCAAUAUUCUUCGUGUCUAUUGUGAUGACUCAUAAUAACUGAUCGAAUCGCAUGGUCCUUGACCGCGAUAAAUCAUUCAAGUUUCUGCCCCAUCAGCUUUCGAUGGUAGUGUAUUGGACUACCAUGGCUUUAACGGGUAACGGAGGAUUAGGGUUCGAUUCCGGAGAGGGAGCCUGAGAAACGGCUACCACAUCUAAGGAAGGCAGCAGG
rnacentral:rRNA from 1 species